rfam:Burkholderia sp. CCGE1003 chromosome 1, complete sequence.
AAAGCAGGCCAGGCAGUCGCGGCCUCGGCGGUUUCACGAGUUGAAGCCAACGGGGGCGAGGAAAGUCCGGACUCCACAGGGCAGGGUGAUGGCUAACGGCCAUCCGUGGCGACACGCGGAACAGGGCAACAGAAAGCAAACCGCCGAUGGCCCGGCGCAAGCCGGGAUCAGGUAAGGGUGAAACGGUGCGGUAAGAGCGCACCGCGGCUGCUGCAAGGCAGACCGGCACGGUAACCUCCACCCGGAGCAAUUCCAAGUAGGCAGGCGCGCAUCUUCGAGAUGCAGGGCGGGGCCCCCGUCUCGUCUGCGGGUAGGAAGCUUGAGCGCGUCAGUAAUGGCGCGCCUAGAGGAAUGGCUGCCACGCGCGUCGCGUUUUCGGACGUUGCGCGUGCACAGAAUCCGGCUUAUCGGCCUGCUUUGCCA